UACGUAGGGUGCGAGCGUUGUCCGGAAUUAUUGGGCGUAAAGAGCUCGUAGGCGGUGUGUCACGUCGGCCGUGAAAACCUGCAGCUUAACUGUGGGCGUGCGGUCGAUACGGGCAUCACUGGAGUUCGGCAGGGGAGACUGGAAUUCCUGGUGUAGCGGUGAAAUGCGCAGAUAUCAGGAGGAACACCGAUGGCGAAGGCAGUUCUCUGGGCCGUAACUGACGCUGAGGAGCGAAAGCGUGGGGAGCGAACAGG
rnacentral:rRNA from 1 species